rnacentral:lncRNA from 10 species
GUUAGCAUUUAUUUUUCUAUUUACCAGUCAUUUGGAAUUUGGACAUUUUCUGUCCUGUGGUUGUGGUGAGGGUGUGGGUUUUGUGUUGUUUUAUAUAUUCUUUGUUAUUUUUUAUUCUAGUUUUUGUUUUUGUUUUGGAAGGUAUUUUAGAGAAAUAAGAUUUCUGUGGUUACCAUGACCUGCUGUUACAGAUUACAUGGUACCCUCUCUUCAUAUGUUGAAGUCCUAGCCACCCCGCCGAACCUCAGAAUGUGACUGUAUUUGGAGAUAGGGUCUUUACAGAGGAAAUCAAGUUAAAAUGAAGUCAUUAGGGCAGGCCCUAAUCCGAUAUGAUCCUGUGUUCUUAGAAGAGGAAAUGUGGACUCAGGUGUGUAUGGAGGGAAGAUGUCUUGCAAGCCCAAGGAGAAGAUGGCCAUCUGAGCCCACGUCCUGGAACAGAGACUUCCCUCACAGCCUCAGAAAGAACCAGCCCUGCUGACGUCUUGAUCUCAGACCUCCAGCCUCCAGAACUGGGAGACGAUUCAGUCAGCAUCUACACAACACAGGGUUGAACUGUGCGGGUCCACUUCUAUGCAGAUUAUUUUCUUUUUUCUUUUUUGAGACAGAGUCUCGCCCGGUUGCUCAGGCUGAAGUGUAGUGGUGUGAUCUUGGCUUACUGCAGCUUCCACCUCCCAGGUGCAAGUGAUUCUCCUGCCUCAGCUUCCCAAGUAGCUGGGACUAUGGGUACUCGCCACCACACCUGGCUAAUUUUUGUAUUUUUAGUAGAGAUGGGGUUUCACCAUGUUGGUCAGGCUGGUCUUGAACUCCUGACCCCAAGUGAUCUGCCUGCCUUGGCCUCCCAGAUUGCUGGGAUUACAGGUGUGAGCCACCGUGCCCGGCCCUAUAUAACUCUUUGUGCAAGUUUUUACCCCUAAAAGAUAUCUGCCAUCUCAGCCAUGGAACAGACACUGUAAGAACAUGAAGGCUCAAGGGCAGGGCUGGCUACAUAAUUUGUGGGACCCAUUACAAAAUGAACAUGGAGAAAAAACUAGAAAAAAGUGUAGUACAAGGUACUAUAAUAGAUUUUUCCUUUGAAAACAGUUUAAUACUUAUAAAAUGUAAUAGAGGGAAAUAGUGACACGUGAGUAACAAAAUGGGCGUAUCAAUUGGUCUAUGCUAUUUUUGGUGUUAUAAUUUUACCUAAUAUAAUAAGCAGCAACACUUUGUUAGUGAGACGGGCUUUCACCAUGUUGGCCAGGCUGGUCUGGAACUCCUGACCUCAGGUGAUCCGCCUGCCUCAGCCUUCCAAAGUGCUGGGAUUACAGGUGUGAGCCUCUGCGCCCGGCUGUGAUGUCUUGAUUGAUCAUAGGAUUUUUCUGGCUAUUCUAGCUACUUCCAAUUCGCUUCAGCCAAUUUAGUUGAAGUUUUAUCACUUGUGACUUCAGAGUCCUGGUUAAUAUCCUGUUGCCCUCAGGACAUGCAGGAUGGAGGAAGGCACCAGGGAGCCGAGGGAAGUGAGCAGAGAGGCAGUCACUUCAGGGCCACCAGCAUAGCCCCCGUCACUGUCCACAGACACAGGCCCUUCCCCUUCUCAUGGUUGAGCAGGCUCCACCUCACUUCCGUGUAUGACUUCAUAGACCGUUAGGUUCCGUGGUACCCUGGAGUCCACAGCUGCUGAAUCUGAAGGGCCAUCAGAAGACUGGCUUCUCCAUGAUGGUUUAUGGACUAAGGCAAAGAUGAGCAGAGCCAUGGCCCUCUUCUUUGUUCUCUGCUGGAUCCAAGAGUCGGGGGUCUCCCUAUGUUUCCCAGGCUGGCCUCGAACUCCUGACCUCAAGUGAUCCUCCCACCUCAGCCUCCCCGAGUGCUGGGAUUAAAGACGUGAGCCACGGCACCUGGCCUGAAUUUUCCUCAAAUUCAAAAAAUCCUGAUGAAGGUUUGGCUAAAAUCUUUGGUGAGUUACCCCACUCCCUGUGGAACCUCAGGCUGGAUUUGAAGAGUUGCGUGCAUGGUCCUCAUUGUCUCCCAGGUAACCUGUUCCCGCUGCUGUGAAGGGAAGGCAGGUGCUCUUCCUUGAGGCUAGAAUCUGUCUACGUGUCACAGUCUCAGGAAAUUAAGCAAAACAGAUGAUAAACACCUCAAAAGGACCCUACUGAGCAUCAGUGGAGCAGAGCAGGGCCAUGUGGGACUGCGGCGUCAGAUGCCACCUCACACUAGCUGUGACACACCUGCCUCGCCAGUUUCUGCUCUGAGGCCCCAAAGCCGAGCUGAACCUCCUCCAGGGGUUCUCAGCCCUAACUGAGCAUGAAAACCCCUGGGGCAAUCCUCUUUUUAACAAUUGAGACAUUCCACACACACCCCACAUCAGAUUUUGGGGUGUGGGGAUAGACCUUCACAUUUGUAGUUUUCUAACCCUCCAGGGGACACUAGGCUGAGACUCAUUGGUCUCCACUCUGAACCUUCCACUGAACAUGUGAGAAAAACUAAGGCCCAGGGAAGUCUUUAGCAGAGAGCUGAGACGGAGAAAAGGGUUCUGAACCACAGCUGUCUGCUGAAGGAAGCUGUCCAAAGGCCAGUGAAGUCUCUCCUGAGGGUGCCUGGGCUGUGCAUCAGGAGUGAAGGUUGAGGGUCACCUUAGGUGUGAGAAGGAGCAACUGGGAGAGUGGCGCUGAUGCUUCCCCCCGGGUUAGGAGGCAUUUGGAUCACAGAGCGAUGCCUGUUCAUUCCUGCUUGCAAGGGAGCAGAUCUCUCGACACCCGAUGGGCCUCUAUUCCGUUCCGGCAGCUGUCCGUGUCAGGAGCGCUGGGCUUGCUCCUCCCCACGGGAGCCAUCACAGAGGCCUCGGGCAGUCUGCAUAGACAACUGCCUGGCAGGUGACCAGGAGGGGAUGCAUGAGCAGAUGCAGGUAGCACUCGCAGUCCCCCUAGCUGUGCCCUCAGCACCUGCUGUCUAGGAGGCAGAAGCCUUGUUCUCGGCCUUGCAGGUGACCCCAGUGUCUCUGAAUUCGGCCCCAUAUGUGUAGGAGGGGAGUGAUUGCAUCUGAAGAUGGGAGUCUGGUUGGGGGUUUGGGAAGCUCCCAUCACCCCUCAAGAGUCCACUGACCAGCCCAGCUCACACCAGGUGGGCCUUGGCACUGGAGGCCACGGCUCAACUCUGCAGUUCCCUCUGGGCAGCAUUUCCAGGGACUCGUAGGUCAGCAUGGUCAUCAAGGACAGGUGGUGAGAGCAGCUCCUCAUUGUCCUGGUGACCCCGAUGGUUCAUUUUCUGGUGUCUCUGUGGUGAGCUCCUGUUACAUCAAGCGAGUGGAAACCACCGAGGACCAACAGCCCUGGAAAUGCACUGAGAAUGCAGGAUGAGUGGGCUUUGUGAGGACUGUUUUCUGUGACUUAGCAAGGAAAGCCUGGAAGGGAAAGUAAAACUGCUUCUUCCCAGGGAAGCCAGAAACCUGAGAACUUAAAAGGGAAGGAGAACUUAAUAUAUUUCAAAAAUGUAACCCUUGUGAAUUAGCAACAGCUUUAUAAACAAAGAGAUUUCCGAGCUUAUAGAAUCUAUUCUGCUUUGUUUCUGCCCCCAUGGCUCCUACCCCUGUUUUUGUGGGUACAAUUUUCAUAUAGAACAUUUUUACACAAGCUUCAAAACUCUCUGAGGACAGCUUUCCCCUUUGUGUCUGUCGGGUCCCAGGCAGUCACAUCCCAGGAAGUGCUGGGGUUGGGCUCCUUGCUCCACAUCCUUCUUCAGUGGCACGAAGCGUGGGGUGGAGUGUGUGAGUCAUGUGUGAUCUUGGUGUGGGCUAUGGCUGGUCUGCAGCACCCCUUCAAUGACUGCUUCAAGGGCUUUUCAUGAUGCUUGUAGCUCAUGAGCUAGUGUUUCCUAGAUGCUGUUUCCAGGUGUCUUGCAUGUCACACACUGGCCUACCAGGGCUGGAGUGAGAUCAUGAGCGCCAGAUUGUUGGUGAAGGAAGUUGACAGAGACAUCGAAUGUCGGUGAACAGGAGUGACCUUGGGUCUCAAUAAAUACUGUGGUCAACUGAAUCCAGAACCCACCCUUACCAGCAGGGCCCACUUCUUCCCCAGCAGGCCGAGCUCUUCCCCUCCUGUCUUCCCUGGCCCUUGCUUUGUAGCUCUGUGUGGCUGUGUCAUGUCUGGUUGUAUCUGUAUAUACUUCUGCCUCUCCCGCUAUCUAGAUGGCUCGGGGAGGCACACCACACACCAGGUCACCUUCCUCUCUGAACCCCCAGCACCUCAUACUGUUUCUGUGCAGAGAUAAGGCUGGGUGAAAGCUUGUGUGAAUGAUCUGAAGUCUUCUACUCUAGGCCAGUCUCCAGGAGCAUUAUGAUCUUUAGGAGGGUGGGCUUGGUUCCUCUGUACAAUAAUGGGUCAUAAAACUGAGUGGUCAAGAUCAUCCCGGUGAGGGCAGUCCGUGUGUUGCCAUAGUUGCUGUACCGGUUAAGAAUGCACCUGGCUGCAAUUUCCUGAAAACCUGACGUAUAGUGGCUUAAACAAAGAGUGGUUUAUUUUCCUUCUGUCAUAGCAAUCUGGGGGAGGCCACUGUGGCUUUGGCGCAGGAGGUCGGGAAAGGCCCGCUUCUCUGAUAUCAUUGGGGGCCUCCCCAGUGCUUGUGUGGCAGAAUGACAAGAGGAAGAAGAAGGAGAAUUAUGGCACUGAGUAUCAUGAGAUUUGGGGUCAUAUAUCUUUAGUGGGCGGUGUUUGCUGCCCCAAAUGUCUCAUGCCAUUAAAAUGUUCUGGAAAUGAUUUAGGUAGUUGGAGUUUCCUUCCCAAAGACAAGGCAUUUACAGCAUGAUGUCCAAUAUCCAUUGAGUUUGUGUCAUGCAUUCAUUGUAUUCAUAGUCUGCUUUAGGUACUUAGCAAAAUAUUGCUGAUAUUAACAUGCCUUUGUUUGCUUCACUGGAGAUGAAAUUGUGCUCCAAGUGUUUUCCAAGGUUCCGUAUGACCCAUCAUUUGAUGAAACAAGAACAGCAGUCAGAUCCAUUACAAAGAGAGACACACAAAAAAACUAUGUGAAAAUGAGCUUAGCCCCUGGUGUUGUGUUGGAACUUCAGAUGCUUGCAGACACUUCAUGAAUGCUCUGUGACACUCAGAAUAGGCUAUUCCCAACAGAAGAGCUUGAACAAUGCUGCAUUUGCAUCAGGUUCAAAUGAGCGAGAGGAACAUUUGGCUAAAAUAUUUGGAACCAGCAUUGCUUGGAAUUCUCCUAAACCAGAAUAUUUCCUUGGCAGUGUGGACAAAAUUCCUGAUAAAGAGAUGGGGUUUCACUGUGUUAGCCAGGAUGGUCUCGAUCUCCUGACCUCAUGAUCCGCCCGCCUCGGCCUCCCAAAGUGCUGGGAUUACAGGCGUGAACCACCAUGCCCGGCCCAGAAUGUCCUUUCUUUUCGAAGCGGAGUAAUAUUCCAUUAUCACCUUUCAGAGGAGAAGAAUUUUAAAGAAUCCUGUCUGUUCGACAGGGAUUUAAGAGAGCAGUUAACUACUAUAGAUAAAGAAACACUUCAAGGAGCAGCUAAACCAGAUGCUCACUUUAGGACUAUGCCCUGCGGGCAGCUUCUGCACUUCCUGCAGAGGAACACCAUCAUCGCCGCCGUCUCAGGGGUGGCCAUCCUCAUGGCCAUCGUGCUGUUGCUGCUUGGGUUGGCCUCAUACAUCAGGAAGAAACAGCCAUCGGACAUGUAUUCCUGACCACAGAAGGAAGAGCAGCUCCCCACAGCCCUUCAGUCCUGCCUGACACUGCACUGAAUGCUCAGCUUGCCCCUAGAGCAAUGGGGUGGAGAUCUCCUCUGGCAAACACGACAUAUAAUAUUUUUAUAAUGGAUGGAAAGACAUGGUGGCACAAUUCUGAAGAAAAAAAUUUCACAAAACUUGCAAAAAAACAGAAACAGUUGAAGAGCAGCUCCUGUGUCUAAGCCAGGUCGUGGGGCCGUCAAACCAGGACUUGAAACCACAAUGCGAGGACAUUCUCCAUCUGCGCACCACAGGGAGGCAAUUCCAUUUCUGCCCGGGAGGUGUAUUCUACAAAAACGUCUGCUUCCCAUCCCAAUUUGAAUGGACCAAGAAAAACUGCUUUACCAUAGGACACUUGUGGCAAUAUGGCACCGAUGGCUGGCGUCGGUGAACCCGACAGACUAUGGAUUUAUCAUUUAAUAAAGCAUUGAUUCAUUUUUUCAGUCAUUCAUUGAACAGAUAUUAAUAGACCACCUCACAUGCUGACAAUAUCAAAAUACAAUGAGGAAACUAACAGUGACCCAGGCAUGCAUUCUUCCCCGAGCAAGAUCACAGUCCAUGGUGUGAGCACAACCAUACUAAAUAGCUUUUAUGGGAGGUGGGAGUACAGAAAGUAUUAUAUCUGCAAAGAAACUGCUAAGAAUUGUGGGAGCGCCCCAGGAGGUGAUUUCCUGCUUGCGUGACCAGCACAAAGAAAUGGGGUAAUUGAGAGUGUCAUGAAGUGGGGUUAUUUAUUUAUUGAGUC